rnacentral:rRNA from 1 species
AUGUUGCGGUGAAUACGUUCCCGGGUCUUGUACUCACCGCCCGUCACACCAUGGGAGUUGAUUUCACUCGAAGUGGAAAUACUAAAUUAGUUAUCCCCCACAGUGGAAUCAGCGACUGGGGUGAAGUCGUAACAAGGUAACCGUAGGAGAACCUGCGGUUGGAUCACCUCCUUUCUAGA